rnacentral:rRNA from 1 species
UUUAAAGUCUAACCUGCCCAAUGAGGAGUUGAAUGGCCGCGGUAUUUUGACCGUGCAAAGGUAGCAUAAUCAUUAGUUUUUUAAUUGAAAGCUAGAAUGAAUGGUUGAACGAAAAAAUGACUGUCUCAAUUUAAUUUUAUUAAAAUUUUAUUUUUAAGUAAGAAAGCUUAGAUGUUGUUAAAAGACGAGAAGACCCUAUAGAGUUUUAUAUACAUUAAAUAUAACUAAUUUUUAGUAUAAUUUUAUUAUUUAUAUUAAGGUAUAUUUUAUUGGGGCGAUAAAAAAAUUUAAGGAACUUUUUUUUUUAAAAAUCAUUUGUAAAUGAAUAAUUGAUCCAUAGUUUAUGAUUAUAAGAUUAAAUUACCUUAGGGAUAACAGCGUAAUUUUUUUUGAGAGUUCUUAUCGAAAAAAAAGAUUGCGACCUCGAUGUUGGAUUAAAAUAAAUUAAUGGUGUAGAAGCUAUUUAAUUAAGUCUGUUCGACUUUUAAAAUUUUACAUGAUCUGAGUUUAAACCGGUGUGAGCCAGGUUGGUUUCUAUCUUUAAUUGAAUUAUAUAUUUUAGUACGAAAGGACCAAAUAUAUGUAAAAGUUAUUAUAAGAUGAUAAAUAUUAA